AGCUUUGUACAGUGCCAGUAUCAGAGCCAAUGAGGUUUAUCUGAGGUGUGAUUAUUGCUAAUUGAAAACUUUUCCCAAUCAGAAACAAAAACAAAAUUAAAUUUAAAAAACACACCAGAGAAAAUGAUCUCCUAAUGUG
rfam:Nomascus leucogenys chromosome 4, whole genome shotgun sequence.